GUGAUAAGAGGUUGUACAGGAAGGAUGUGGAUGGGUUCAAUCAGGAGGAACAAAUUCAAGAAAAUAAGGCUAAAGAAUUUGAACUUUCUGAAUCCCGGAAUGGAAAAGAAAUUGAGUCCCGAAGAACAGGUAGAGUUCCAGAUUGGAGAAGUGAGGCAGAGGUGUUGCCCAGGGCAAGAAGAGUAGAUCCUGAAGGUAUGAGGUACGCGUCCUCCGUUAACUCAGAAGAGGGUCCUUCUGGCUACUGGUCAGGUUCAAAUUAUGAUAAUGAUAAGAGGUUGUAUGGGAAGGAUGUGGAUGAUUUAAGUCAGGUUGAUUGUCCAGUUGAUGAGCGAGCAGAG
rnacentral:misc_RNA from 1 species